UAAGCCACAACAGUGCGCAUGAAUGUCCUGGCUGAUGCUCUCAAGAGCAUCAACAAUGCCGAAAAGAGAGGCAAACACCAGGUGCUUAUUAGGCCGUGCUCCAAAGUCAUCGUCCGGUUUCUCACUGUGAUGAUGAAGCAUGGCAGGCUAAACAAGUGUGGAGUGAUCAGCCCCAGAUUUGAUGUGCAACUCAAAGAUCUAGAAAAAUGGCAGAAUAACCUGCUUCCAUCCCGCCAGCUUGGUUUCAUUGUACUGACAACCUCAGCUGGCAUCAUGGACCAUGAAGAAGCAAGACGAAAACACACAGGAGGGAAAAUCCUGGGAUUCUUUUUCUAGGGAUGUAAUACAUACAUUUACAAAUAAAAUGCCUCAUGGAC